rnacentral:lncRNA from 12 species
CUGCUAUGAUUAUUGCCAAGACUUGGGUAAGCAAUGUGCAAAACUGGGAGGUAUUGACCAGUCACAUUAGUGAGAGCAGGAGGCUUGAGGAAUCUGCCUGGGAAGGGUCAGCCGGCAAUGAGAAGAUGCAAGUAUGUCAGCAUCAAACAUUCAUUCCCACCCCGAUCAGCUGCCUCUGAGCUCAAACAGACUGCCCUCUAUGCUGGCUGGCAGGAAGGAGAUUUUAUCUCUUGUGUGCUUAGGCCCCCAUAAUUGCAUCUCACUCCUGACUCCUUCAAAAUAACGAGUGUAUCCUCUCCACAGUUUGCAGAACACAUGCAGAGGAAAUAGCGGGGCUGCGAGCUAACUGGCACAGAAAUUCCAACCAGAUGAUGGAAAAAGCGGUUGUCAAACUGAGAACACUUGAGAGAUUUUCUUCUUCCAAGAGGACUGUAUAUAAUCCAGUAAAUAGCCUCCCCUGGAAUUGAUUGACCCUAUCUUAAGCAAGCUGUUACUUAUUAUUCCAGUACCAUUUUGCCAAACACUCUUUUAACGUACACAGGAAGAUUCCAGGGUAUAAUAUUCUCCCUUUAUUGGCAG